UCCCUGGUAGUAUAUCGGUUCAGUACACGCGCCUGUCACUUACUCUGGUGUUUACGUAACGCGCGAGAGCGGGGUUCGACUCCCCGCCAGGGAG